GUGAUAAUGAUGAAGCAAUUUUAUAAUCCAACACUUGAUCUGAGAGAUGCUAUGUGCAUCAGCGAUGUUACAACAGUUUAGCUUCUGAAUCUGC
rfam:Eutrema salsugineum unplaced genomic scaffold scaffold_2, whole genome shotgun sequence.